CCUACGGGAGGCAGCAGUGGGGAAUUUUGGACAAUGGGCGAAAGCCUGAUCCAGCAAUGCCGCGUGAGUGAAGAAGGCCUUCGGGUUGUAAAGCUCUUUUGUCAGGGAAGAAACGGUGAGGGCUAAUAUCCUUUGCUAAUGACGGUACCUGAAGAAUAAGCACCGGCUAACUACGUGCCAGCAGCCGCGGUAAUACGUAGGGUGCAAGCGUUAAUCGGAAUUACUGGGCGUAAAGCGUGCGCAGGCGGUUUUGUAAGUCUGAUGUGAAAUCCCCGGGCUCAACCUGGGAAUUGCAUUGGAGACUGCAAGGCUAGAAUCUGGCAGAGGGGGGUAGAAUUCCACGUGUAGCAGUGAAAUGCGUAGAUAUGUGGAGGAACACCGAUGGCGAAGGCAGCCCCCUGGGUCAAGAUUGACGCUCAUGCACGAAAGCGUGGGGAGCAAACAGGAUUAGAUACCCUGGUAGUCCACGCCCUAAACGAUGUCUACUAGUUGUCGGGUCUUAAUUGACUUGGUAACGCAGCUAACGCGUGAAGUAGACCGCCUGGGGAGUACGGUCGCAAGNUUAAAACGUCAAAGGAUUGACGG
rnacentral:rRNA from 1 species